UAGACCUGUCCCUCGCGCACCAUAAUCUGUUUUUUUGUUGUGAGACGCGGAGGGUAGCGAAGUCAUGGGCAAGCUUCAGGAAUUCGAUAUUACUUUUACCAACAACAAAGUGGUCUACAGCCCUGGCGAAUCCAUAAGUGGAACUGUGAAAAUUACAAGUGGUAGCUCACUGCAAUAUAAGGCCAUUAAGGUGAACUGCCUGGGAUCAUGUGGGGUCUCCAACAAAAUGAACGACACGUCGUGGACACUGGAAGAGCAAUACUUCAGCAGCACACUGUCUGUAGCUGACAAAGGUACCCUGGCAGCUGGCGAGCACGGUUUCCCUUUCCAAUUUGUCAUCCCAGUGGCUGCCCCAACCUCCUUUGAAGGGCCCUUUGGGAAAAUUGUUUACCGUGUGAGAGCCGUCAUAGACACACCUCGCUUCUCCAAGGACUACAAGGCCCAGAAGCCCUUUUACCUACUCAACCUGCUCAACCUCAAUCAAGUGCCCGACAUUGAGCAACCCAGUUAUGCUGUGACCACUAAGAGGUUCAGCUAUCUCCUGGUGAAGACGGGCACCCUCAUGCUGAAGGCUUGCAGUGACCUGAGGGGAUACACACCAGGCCAGAUCAUCAGACUAGCCACUGAGAUCCACAACAAGUCAGGCAAGGACACGGGCUGCGUGCUGGCCAGUCUCAUACAGAAAGUGACUUAUAAGACCAAACGAGCUUUGUACGACCUGCGGACCAUAGCAGAGGUAGAGGGGGCGGGAGUGAAGGCGGGGAAACACGCUGAGUGGCGAGAGCAGAUCAUCGUACCGCCCCUCCCCCAGUCUGCCCUGGCCGGCUGCAGCCUCAUAGAGAUCGACUAUUUCAUCCAGGUAUCACUAAAAUCCCCUGAGACGGUUGUCACUUUACCCAUCUACAUCGGGAACAUCGCUGUCAAUUUGACCCCGUCACGAGCUAUGCCCUCAACCCCAGCCCCAACGCCCAUCAGCCCUAACACCGGCCUGGAAGGGGUUACCCCCAGCGCACCCCCAGCUGAGGAGGACCUGGAGGAGGAGUUGGGUGCAGGGGGUUCAGUCAGCGAGGAGAUCCCCACUAAGAGCCACUCCCAGCAGGACCAAUCCGGCCGGCCCCCCACCAUGUCCCCCAGUGCAUUUAGCUAUGCUCCCGGUGCAGCUUUCCCACCCAGCCAGCGACGUGCCGACGACACCUCUGCGCCUCUGUUCUGUGUGUCCACUGGGUCCACCAUCCCUUUCUUUACAGAGGGAAACGUCACCCCAGUACCCACGUCCUGUCCUCUCAUACUCCCCCCUGAGUACAGCACCUGGGACUACCCACAUGAACCCCCUCCCACCUAUGAGGAGAGCUGCAGCAGCAACAACUCCAGCUUCAACAACAGCAGGCCGUAGAGGAGAGGGGACUGAACAUAAUGCAGCUCAAAACUGCAAUUACACUCCCUAAAGGACAAAUAGGUGGCUCCGUCUUUUGAUGGGUGGAGUCGGGCUGGCCUAGCUGGACAUCAGGACCUGAGCAUGCCUACCCCCUGGUGGCCAUCAACGGAAGAGAAUGUUGCCCAUCAACAGAAGAGAAUGUUGCCCAUUGGGAAAGCUUCUGACCAUCACUAAGGGCACUAUUUAAUCUGUAAAGCUUGAAGCGUUGCAGAUUCCACGAUAGAAAUGUAGAGGUCAAUUCCCAUUGAGCUGACAUCUGCAGCGUUUACAGUGAAUGCAGUCUCCGCUAAAGCAGGAACAUGGUCUUUAAAUGUCAAGCAUGCUGUAAAGCUGCAAUGCAGAUUGAAUAGAGCCCUAAAACACUGGAACUCAAUGAUGCCUGCUAAGUAGAACAUACUCCUUCAACCUGUGAUCUACUGACCAGGGGCUUCAUAUCUUGUCACACCUCAUCUUGAAACAGACAAGCAGGACAUUGUACUCUUGGGUGUGUAGGAGUAAUUGACAUAGCAAGGAUUGAUAUGCAUUUAUGACAUCUGAUGCAAACACUUUUACCUUCCUCUUUUUUCUUUUCUUUUUUUAACCCUGGAUACAAUUUUGUACCCUGAUUUUCCCCAUGUGGCCUUAACUCCUUCUGUUCUACCUACAUUACUAUGUGGUGAUGAAGACGGUUGUCUUCAGAGUUUCUGUUGCUUUUGAAAUGGCAGUCAAUGCAGAUAACACAUUUGUUGGUGCGACAACCAACAGUGUGAAAUGUUCAAGCACAAGACAGCACUUUUUGGCAGUUUGAAACAGUGCAUGUAUAUGUUGUUGCGUGUGAAUGUGUAUGUAGUGUACCAGUUCCUGUUGGUGAUCGCCCCUCCUGUCUUUGGCAGUUGAUAACGUUGGACAGCUCAGUUUUACAACUUGACAUCAGGCAAUAUCAUCCACUGUGUGUUUAUGUUGAUUUGUAUGUCUUGUUUCUGUCUCAAUGACAGCCUCCUUUUGUAUGUCUAGGCCAACCACACUGUGGCUUAUGUUUCAUACAAUUCUGUAAUUACAAACUUUAGCACCUGCUGUGGGAAUUAAUGUAUAUAGCCAUCCCUCCUGUAAUGGCAGCCUCGUGCUGUCAAAGCCUUCAUAUACCAGAAAAUAGAUGGCAGAUGAUAUUGGGAAAUGAUCUGCGCUUUAGACCACUGCUCUAAAGUAAUAAGGCAUCAGCUCUGAAAGAACCAUAGAAAUCACACCUCUACUUUAUUUACCAUCUUCUCAGAGUUUACUCACAUCACUAACAAAUUACAUCUACUAUUGUGUGAAACAUACGAUUCCCGAAUAUAAGGCCAAGCUGCUAAAUCAAAAUGUGCAAUAUAUUGUCAACAUUUAUGGUCUUAAUUUGAGGUUAGGAUUAGGAAUACGGUUAGCAGUAUGGUUAUGGUUAAAAUAUUAUUUGAUUUUAAGAAGAGAAGUAGAUCUUCCGGCUUUGCAGCUUGACCAGAAAGUGACAUCCGAAAUAUACUAUGUAAUACACUCAUUAAACAUCACUAGACAUAAUAUUACACCUUCUACUGUGUGAAACAUACUGUGUAAUGUACAUGUCCACUGAGUUGUUGUUAAACCAAGCCUUAACUACAUGAUCCCAGUUCCCAUUAGUCUGCAUAGUCAUCAUCCUCAUCCAGGUGCUAGAGGUUUGGAAUAGGAUCUCUUUGUCUAGGAGAAUACUGGGAGUGCUUUUGUGGCCCUCCCUGUUUUAUCUACUGGUCUCCACUGGACUGAAGAUGCACUGAAAGAAUACUAAAGUAGCUGUGAAACCAGUGAGGAUUUUCCUCAAAUGUAUUUCAGCUCUGCUUGUGGACCUUGGAUCUCCUCUUUUUUAAUCCUAGAAAAAGAACAAGACAAAAAAAUGUGCAAUUCUGUUAUCUCCGUGUUUGGUACGGCAGCUUAGUUCUCAAGUCAUUUCAUGUUGCUUUUAUCAAUCCUGCCCCACUGUUUUUAUUUCUCUUCACCAAAGGUACUAUAGCUUUCUAAACUCCAUGUUUUCGUUGUACAUUCUUUCCCCUCACAAAUCGGUGAGUGGUGUACAUGUGGUUUUGUAUUUUUCUACUUGUGAACAGUUUUCUGGUGCAAAUGGUAGCCAUUUGAGAGAGAGAAAAUAUUAUGGAGAAAAAAAUGUAGCACCAUAGUCAAUCAAAAUUGUACAGUUGACCAAUAAAAUGAUAAUCUGACAUA